AAUGAACGUUGGCGGCGUGGAUUAGGCAUGCAAGUCGAGCGAGAACCCGCAAGGGUGAAAGCGGCGAAAGGGAGAGUAACGCGUGGUUAUCUGCCUUCGGGAUCGGGAUAGCUGCGGGAAACUGCAGGUAAUACCGGAUGAUGUCUUCGGAUCAAAGGUGUGAUUCCGCCCGAAGAUGAGACCGCGUCCUAUUAGCUAGUUGGCGGGGUAAUGGCCCUCCAAGGCAAUGAUGGGUACUGGGUGUGAGAGCACGACCCAGCUCACUGGGACUGAGACACUGCCCAGACACCUACGGGUGGCUGCAGUCGAGGAUCUUCGGCAAUGGGCGCAAGCCUGACCGAGCGACGCCGCGUGCGGGAAGAAGGCCUUCGGGUUGUAAACCGCUGUCAGAGGGGAUGAAAUGCUGGUGGGUUCUCUCAUCAGUUUGACAUAUCCUCAGAGGAAGUACGGGCUAAGUUCGUGCCAGCCGCCGCAGUAAUAC
rnacentral:rRNA from 1 species